GCAAUCCCCUCCCUCGCCGCCUCCUCGCCCCUUGCCAGCAGAAAUCCGCUACGUCUCGAGUGGUCGCUCCGAGGGAGAAGCCGCAAGGAGCCCAUCAGCUCCGCAGGGGUUGCGCGGGACCUUCCGGCACCCGCUGGUGCGCAGGGAGGUGUUUGUAGGGCCGAGGCUCCCCCCUGCCCCACGAAACCCACGGCCUCCCCUCCGCUACCGGUGGGUGAGGAGAGCCGCAAUCGCCUCCCCCGCCGCAGCUGGAGCGGGAGACCAGCCUCCCUCUUUGCCGCGGGGGCAGCAUGAAGAAGAUCCUUAGCGCUGACGAUUUCAUAAAUUAUAUGGCUCUUCCCUGAUGCUCCAUAAAUGGCCACUGGUCCCAAAUUAGUAUGUGGGGACAAUGAUUGAAGAAUACGAAGUCCUUAGUUUUAAUGUUUGUAACCCAGUUCAACAGCAUUUAAAUAAAUUUCUUCUGGAUGAGACAGUUUAAAGACAUCUGUUGGGUUGGGUUGUUCUUUUAUCUUGAGUAACUCUGGCCUUCUAAUACAACUGCUCAGACUUUCUUCAAAACAGUUAAGUUGCUUUCUGUUACAGAUUCCCCUGUAUUAUUGUCAGUCCUUUGUUGAUAUGCUUGUGUUACCUGUCUCUCUCUCUCUCUCUCUCUCGAUUAAAAGCAGAAAAAAAGUAUGGAAGCUUAGAAGCUUCUGAUCAUACUCAGCAGUAGUUACAUUGACACUCUGUUCACAAGCAGCUGGUUACCAGAGGCUGAAGCCAAUGUCAUCAUUUUGUUUGUGUUAUCAUGCUGAGUCCAAACUUUGCCAUUUAAAUACAACCAGAUGUUCCUUACCAGAGCCACUUUGAAUGCAGCAUGUUAGACUACAACCCCAUCAGUGCUGAUCCCACUCUUCCAUCUUUGCUUUUAGUGCACUUCUGUUACUUUUCUCUUAAUUACAGAAUUACCCUGAAAUGUUUGUACAAUACAAAUAAAGUUGGACCUUUAA